GAUGAUGAUUUUAUAAACCGGCCCAACCCAAAUAUGAAAGCCGACUACACAUUAGGGUUUUCUCUGUCCAGUAUAAAUACUCGCAGAGCUCUAAAAUCCAAACCCGCUCACGCCGCUACAUCCCCUUUCGUCCUCCGCAGCUUUCAAGAGCAGGGUUUGGGUGCGAACAUCGUUUUACCGCCGCCAUGAGAGCCAAGUGGAAGAAGAAGCGCAUGAGGAGGUUGAAGAGGAAGCGCCGAAAGAUGAGACAGAGAUCCAAGUAGUUUGCUCGUUCGCUGUCACCGAUCAUCAAUCGACGUCGCUCGCUUCCGUCUCCGUGUUUUGUUUUCUAAUCAAGUAAUCACUACUGAUUAGUCAGUUUGUAGCCGUUUUGUACUCUUUGGGUUACCGUUUUGAACCAGUUUUGCUUCAAUUUCAGUCAGAUUAUGAACCUUAUUAUGAGUCUUAAUAUAUCUGAUUUUCCAAUUUUCAA